rnacentral:rRNA from 1 species
AUUGAACGCUGGCGGCAGGCCUAACACCAACAAGUCGAGCGAGCGGCGGACGGGUGAGUAAUGUCUGGGAAACUGCCUGAUGGAGGGGGAUAACUACUGGAAACGGUAGCUAAUACCGCAUACCAUCAGAUGUGCCCAGAUGGGAUUAGCUAGUAGGUGGGGUAACGGCUCACCUAGGCGACGAUCCCUAGCUGGUCUGAGAGGAUGACCAGCCACACUGGAACUGAGACACGGUCCAGAAUCCUACGGGAGGCAGCAGUGGGGAAUAUUGCACAAUGGGCGCACGCCUGAUGCAGCCAUGCCGCGUGUGUGAAGCAGGCCUUCGGGUUGUAAAGCACUUUCAGCGGGGAGGCGUUACCCGCAGAAGCAGCACCGGACAACUCCGUGCCAGCAGCCGCGGUAAUAC